rnacentral:rRNA from 1 species
GACGAACGCUGGCGGCGUGCUUAACACAUGCAAGUCGAACGGUAAGGCCCCUUGGGGUACACGAGUGGCGAACGGGUGAGUAACACGUGGGUGAUCUGCCCUGCACUUCGGGAUAAGCCUGGGAAACUGGGUCUAAUACCGGAUAGGACUCCUGGCUUCAUGGUUGGGGGUGGAAAGCUUUUGCGGUGUGGGAUGGGCCCGCGGCCUAUCAGCUUGUUGGUGGGGUAAUGGCCUACCAAGGCGACGACGGGUAGCCGGCCCGAGAGGGUGACCGGUCACACUGGGACUGAGAUACGGCCCAGACUCCUACGGGAGGCAGCAGUGGGGAAUAUUGCACAAUGGGCGCAAGCCUGAUGCAGCGACGCCGCGUGAGGGAUGACGGCCUUCGGGUUGUAAACCUCUUUCAGCUAUGACGAAGCGCAAGUGACGGUAGUAGCAGAAGAAGGACCGGCCAACUACGUGCCAGCCGCCGCCGUAA